CCUGCCUGGGCCUGGAGAGAAGGUGCCGAGCUGGAGCUGCUUGUGAGAGCUGCAGUGCCUGCGAUCGCCUGUGCCUGACCUUGGUGGUGGGAGAUAAAGCUUUUAACUCUUUCUAAGGCAGAAGAGAGUUAUCCCUGGAUGCUGCAUUCUCAUAGUUGGUGGUUUUAGAAGAGAGAGGACAGCCUGGGACCGAGAGGGUAAUGUGAGAUGAAAAGAAGCCCCUUCGAUUGCCGGAAUGAAGAGGAGUGGCUUAUGAAGCUGGACUUUUCUUGCAUAAUGAUAGCCAUAGACGGACCCUGGACCCUCCUGACUAUAAAUAAGACUGUGUUUGGGUGGAUGUUUUUGGCUCAAACCCAGAGACGUUUUGGCCUGCUUCGUGGAGCCCCCGGCCCCAGGGGUAAAUGGGGGGGACCUGAGUCCCAAAAUGAGAAGAUGGCUGGUUUUUGGUACUUGGCCAAAACAUCCUUAAAAAGAGCCCUGUUGCAGUGCAGGUCCAUGGACGGCAGUGAGAGUGCCGGACAUGGAAAGGAGGGUGUCACCCUGGCAGACUCUUCCAGGCAGUGCCAUGGGUGACGUGGGAACACGGGAUGGUGGACCUGUGUUUCCUGUGGGGGGGGCGGUCUGUGGUGCGAGAGAGACUCCUCUCGUCCUGGAUGGAAUGUGGAUUGUCUGAAUUUUAAAGGAUGAUGGUUUGGAUUAGGAACCCAGGGUUGUUGAGGGAUUAAGCAAGUAGAUGAAGGUAAUGUGCCGGAGUCAACUGAGUGAGCAUGUAUGGAAUGGAAUUGGGGGGAGGAGAAGCAGUGUUUUUGGGAGGUUUUCUCUUCUGCUUUUGGGUGGCUGGGUUUUUUUUUCUUUCCUUGUCUAUUGUCCAUUGUUCUGUAGUAUAAUAAAUUGUCUGUCUGUUUCAAGUAUUAGGCCUGCUCUGCUCUGUUCUUGACCACAUCUCACAGGAGUUCAUUAGGUAAAAUAUACCCUCAUGGGUGCAUUGGCAUUUUGUCUAAUGUCAACCCAUGACAUUUUUGGUUCCCUGACCGGGAAUCGAGAUUUUGUAAGAUGAAAACUGUGAGAUGGGAUCAAAGAGGAACAAGAGCAGAGCAUGAAAUAGGUGAUAACAUAAAUGUAUGAAUGUAAUGUUGGUGUUAGUUUAUAAAUAUGUGUCCUCAGAGGGCGAGGGGUGGAGUGUCGUGGUUUGAAGGGAAGUGAUUUUUUUGGAAGUAGUGGUCAAACCAAUCAGUCUUUAGAUCUGAAUAUUGGCACCUUUGUUGGCCACUAAGAGGUGGACACGCCUCUGAGGACACGAGGGGUUAAAAGCCGGAUUUCCCAGCAGGACUCCCUCUUUCCUGCUCUGCUUUCGGAGAGGGAGCGUCUUCUCCUCUCCCCUGUCCGGGCCUGGCUAGGCCGGGUGGGGGAGGGGAGCAAGGUGGGCCUGGCUGAGCAAGGCAGAAGAGAGUUAUCCCUGGACGCUGUAUUCUCAUAGUUGGUGGUUUUAGAAGAGAGAGGACAGCCUGGGACCGAGAGGGUAAUGUGAGAUGAAAAGAAGCCCCUUCGAUUGCCGGAAUGAAGAGGAGUGGCUUAUGAGGCUGGACUUUUCUUGCAUAAUGAUAGCCAUAGACGGACCCUGGACCCUCCUGACUAUAAAUAAGACUGUGUUUGGGUGGAUGUUUUUGGCUCAAACCCAGAUACGUUUUGGCCUGCUUCGUGGAGCCCCCGGCCCCAGGGGUAAAUGGGGGGGACCUGAGUCCCAAAAUGAGAAGAUGGCUGGUUUUUGGUACUUGGCCAAAACAUCCUUAAAAAGAGCCCUGUUGCAGUGCAGGUCCAUGGACGGCAGUGAGAGUGCCGGACAUGGAAAGGAGGGUGUCACCCUGGCAGACGCUUCGAGGCAGUGCCAUGGGUGACGUGGGAACACGGGAUGGUGGACCUGUGUUUCCUGUGGGGGGGGCGGUCUGUGGUGCGAGAGAGACUCCUCUCGUCCUGGAUGGAAUGUGGAUUGUCUGAAUUUUAAAGGAUGAUGAUUUGGAUUAGGAACCCAGGGUUGUUGAGGGAUUAAGCAAGUAGAUGAAGGUAAUGUGCUGGAGUCAACUGAGUGAGCAUGUAUGGAAUGGAAUUGGGGGGAGGAGAAGCAGUGUUUUUGGGAGGUUUUCUCUUCUGCUUUUGGGUGGCUGGGUUUUUCUUUCCUUUUCUAUUGUCCAUUGUUAUGUAAUAUAAUAAAUUGUCUGUCUGUUUCAAGAA